CAUAAUGGCGGAAGAACAUUACCUCACAGGCCCCGCUUCGUCCCCACCUCCGGCUUCCGCCCCGCCGCGUUCUACCUUCCCGGCUGGUUCGCCGUGGACUGACGCCAUGGCCGCGCCCUCUUCGCCCCCUGUCCCACGACAAUCCGUCCCAUUCCCAAGGAGUUCUCGGUCCUCCUCGUCUGGGACCCCGUGACGGGCGACCGGCGCCACGUGCCCACGCCCAAAAUGGCCAUCGGUGUGAGAUUCGGAGCGGCCGUGCUGUGCGCCGCUCAAGGCUGCGACCACUCCGGUUGCCAAGGAGGGCCGUUCAGUGUGGCCAUCGUGGCCGUCGGUCCGGGCCGAGAGAUAUCCGCCUGCCUCUACUCUUCGGAGACGUCGGUCCGGGCCGAGAGAUAUCCGCCUGCCUCUACUCUUCGGAGACGUCGGUCCGGGCCGAGAGAUAUCCGCCUGCCUCUACUCUUCGGAGACUGGCACCUGGAGCCAACUAGCCUCAAUUCAGCACCCCCAUGACUACCCUUAUUACUGGGCCAAACAUAUGCGCAGCUUCCUUGUGGGAGAUGCAUUGUACUUCAUAAGCAUCAAGAACAAAAUCAUCGAGUACCGACUCGGUACCCGUCGCUUGUUGCUCUUCGAUUUGCUGCCUAACGGUAGGGCUAUGAUCUCUGGGAAGCUCGUGAUGGCAGAAGAUGGUGGGCUGGGAUUUGCUAACCCGGAUGGUGCAAAACUAACCCUGUGGUCGAGCCGUCGAGGGAGACCAGCCCCAACGGAGCUGUAGGAUGGGCACAACGCCCGGUAAUCAAUCUUGAAACACUACUCCCUCCUGGUGCCCUCUUGGUCCCGUUUGAGCCGCGCGUGGCUGCAGGGGUGUUUGGUUUCGCGGAGGGUACCCAAGUCAUUUUUGUCGGCUCAUGUGCAAGUGUUUACAUGGUUGACCUCAAGUCUGGGCGAGCAAGGAAGGUGCUUGAUCAGGGCACGGAAGUCUUUCCCUACAUGAGCUUUCCAGCAAUGGAAGCAGCUUGUACGGGCCAGGGGCAAUGAGUUGGUAUUGCAACUUUUGGCAAGGCCUAAUUGCUAGAGCAAAGGCUUAUGGAUCAAGGGAGAGGUGGUAGAGAUAUCACAAGUGUGGAUCUGGAUAUGUGAGAUUACAGCUAGUCUUAGUCUUGCUUUAUGGAACUUUAUUUAAGAGGUUGUUCUAUUUGGCAGCUUGCUUGUCGGUGUCGAGUUCUACAAGGGCUUAUAUAUGUAACCAAGCUAGUAAGCCCACCAUAUAUAAGUAUGUAACCCUCCUUGCUCUGUAGCUUGAAAUGUCAGCUUGCCACGAAAAACCAGUAUAAAUGCCUACUUUUGACUAAAGUUAUCUAGAGUGCAGCAAUUCUUAAUGGCGUAAUGUAUAUAUUAUGCAUUGAGUGACUCCUGCCUAAUUAGGUUUUACUCCAAUUUUUUCUGACAUAAAAAUGACAACAUACAGUUUCAAACUUAUUGAUUUAUUAUCAUGCAAAACUAGAUACCUUAUUUAUGUGUGAAUUUGAAGUACAUUAUGUUCCUGUGUUGCCUGCACUCUUAUCUUUUCAGGAACAGUAUGUUCCUAUGCUGUCUGCACUGUAUCUUUUCAGUUUUUUUACAAUGUGGAUAGAGUGACGAAUCCAUUAACCUGACUCUGCUAUUAAUUGUCAUAUGUCUUUUUCGCAAAAAAAAUAAAAAAUUGUUGUGUGUCUUGUGGAACCUUGGGGUGUUUCGAGUUGGGUCUUAUAAAUUUAGUAGACAGAAAGUAAUCAUGGUCAAGUAGAUCUUCUUCUCUUGGAUUAUUUGUGAUCUUGACACAGGAUCAACGCUUGAGGUUAGAUUAAAUUUCACUUAUUUAAGCUGAUGUUCAUUUAUGCUUGGGAAGGCAAAUUGGAGGUGAAAAUAUAAUGAGUUUCAUUACUGAAAUAAGGUUGUCCCAAGUUGCAGAUUCGGUCAUUUCUCGAAAGUAUUCAAAUUACGCUUAAAGUCUGAAUGGGCAUGGUUCUGACGUACUGAGAAAACUGAAGGAAUUCUUGGACAAGCAUGGAGCUGUGAACUGACAAGGAUUCAAAGUAAUAAUUUCAAUUGGUCGGUGCUCAAAACAUGACUCCACGCAAAAAUAAGGCUUGAACUCAGAAGUAACGCCAGAAACGUUUGGAGGAAUGUGGAACUAUGGUUGAAUCUGAAAUAGGUUUGGUGGUUUAUACUAUGAAGGAUGAAGCUUUAGAUGAUAUUUUUGGUUCAGUUGUAGCUGUUCUGUUCUAAUAUGAGCUUGGUGCCGAGGGUGCUGCUGUGUGCUGUGUGCUGUCGAAUCCAUUCGGCUAAGCUCCAGGUAGUCUGGUUGCGGAUUUAGGAGCCGGAGUUCUCCUGAAUGGAGCCUAUAUAGCUGGCUGCAAUAGUCUGAAGGUUGCACCAGGAAAGGCUUCAGGGAUACCCGAUGCUGACGGAGAACCUCAACAAGAGAUGCGAGGGAGAGCUAUUUUGUUUAAAGCUGAAGUUGGCCCUGGAAUGCAAAUGCCUAAAACAUCCUCGUACUGAACCUUCUUGGUGGAUUUCAUCUCUGUUUUAGAUAUCUGUACAUUUGGGUUGUCUUAAGUCAAACUUGGUCAUCGUUGGGACUACUGUUAAGUAUAUUUUCAUAUGCAUUUUUUUGGUAUUA